rnacentral:tRNA from 1 species
GCGCCCGUGGCGAAAUUGGUAGACGCGCUAGCAUGAGGGGCUAGUGGGAGUAAUCCCUUGUAAGUUCAAGUCUUAUCGGGCGUACCA